AUGACUAGCACACAUCAGAGAGGCACCUUCUUUCACCCAGCAUCACGAGUGACACAAAAGCACAGACACGAAUCAGGAGAAAUGAAGAAACCAGCCCUUUGUGUCUUUAAAGACAUGGGUCUUCGGCGAGGACUAAAUGUUUCCACAAGAAUGUUGCUCACCCCUCCAUUACUACAUACUCUUCUGCUGAGCUCCAACCUGGCCUUUUAAUCAUUGGUGCUCAAGGUAAAAUCCAUUUCAUGGCAUAAAUAGUUAACUUUCCUAAAUUCAAUAGAUCUUGUGACUACAAAAAUAUUACAUAUUAUAAACUUCUAAUUGAAGGUAAACCAAAACCUCUAAGAAAUUAUCUUGUUUUCUACUACUUUUCAGUGUGUCUUCCUUCUUAUACUAGAAUACUUCUUAGAAAUGAAAAAUUCAUUACAACAAAAUUUACAUUUACUACGCAGCUGUCUGCUAUGAUUUGUAAGUACAUAUAUCUUUUCUAUUGCUUAUGAAAUGAAAGUGUGGAGGUUUUUUUUUUUCUUUUUUUAGCUGUGUGUAUGUGUGUGUGUAUGCACAUGUGGUCCAUAAAAAGUAACUGAAUGAGUGCAGAUGAGAUUCAAUGAGAGGAGCCAUUUUCAAAGCGAAUGUCGGACAGACACAGACACCAUGGUUAGUUUUUUUUUUUUUUUUUUUUUUGAGACCGAGUGUCACUGUGUCGCCCAGACUGGAGUGCAGUGGCGCGAUCUUGGCUCACUGCAACCUCCACAAGCAGUUCUCCUGCCUCAGCCUCCUGAGUAACUGGGACUAGAGGCGUGCACCACCAUGCCCAGCUAAUUUUUGUAUUCUUAGUAGAGACGAGGUUUCACCAUGUUGGUUAGGCUGGUCUGGAACUCCUGACCUCAGGUGAUCCACUCACCUCGGCCUCCUAAAGUGCUGGGAUUACAGGCAUGAGCCACUGCACCCAGUCUUGGUUAGUUGGUUUCUGACAGCAAUGAUGAAGUAAUGAACUUGGUGUAAAAGCACCAGAUUCAGGUCAAGAUAUUUUUGAAAAAUAUAUUUUUGCUUAUUUUUAAUGAUAGCAUUUAUUUUUGUCAGCUCUUGAAAUUAAUAAGAGGGCUCCUAUCUGGUUUAUUCAUGGCUUCUUUAAACCUUGUCUCCACAUGUAUUUGUCAUAAUUAGUGAUGGAGAUUCCUAAGUUCCAAGGCUAACAGAAUAAUAUAGCUGUAAAUAUAGCAUAUCAUCAUUUGACUAAUUAAGUGGAAUCUAAGAAGAAAACAGUUAACUUCAUUUCUGGGUAGUAAUAUUGCAUUAUGGAC
rnacentral:lncRNA from 1 species